GUCCAGUGGACAAAAAAUAUAUAAAUAAAUAAAUAAAAAUCUGGCAGUGCCCCUGUAUUGGCUCUGACAGAGACAAGAGAUAACAGAGAGACAUUGGCUGUUCUUCAUUAGAUUCUCCUCUGCCCCUCAGCAAACAGAAGUAGCUCCGGCCAAACAAGCUCAAUCAAAAGGUGGCUUCACUGGACGAUGUUAGCUCAGCAAAUCCCAGCUCUACACACACGGCUUCAAAGAAUAGGCCCAUCUCCUCCUAACCUUUGAUGUAUUGUGUAUUGAUCACGAAGAGAGCCUGGGAGAGAGUGAUGCGAUGGAUGCCCUAAGAGGGAUUAGUGGAGGCCAGGCCAGGCUCAAAUACAAAUGUUCCUAAAGAGCAGCUUGGUCUCUGGGGCUUGGCCAGCUGCCCUGUCCUCUGACCAGCUCUAUAGGAGCAUGCUUUAAAAAUGCCGGAUUAAAAAAAAAUUAAAAUGUACAUGUUGGUGGAUAAGAACUAAUUCUUUUUAAGUCGUUUGGUCUGAAGUAACUUCACUUGAGUGUGAUUAUUGUAAAGGUAUUACUCCAUAUAUCACACUAUUUUGCGGGUCCACUCCAAAGGGCUUUAUAUUUUCGGAGACUAUCAUGAAUAAAGAGCUCUUGAAAUGUAAAGGCCCAGUGAUGUAACUUUUCUGGUGCCAUGCAGUCAUGCUUGGACAGCGCAGCACUCGUCUCCCUGCCGCAGAUGUCUUUAUACCUCGUUUCCUGUCUCUCGUCAGCUAAGUUAAGGUAGAAUGACAUUGUGAUUGCUGUUUCUUUGCCACCACAGACAAUUGGAACGGCCCAUCUUGGAACCGUCUGCUCGCACCUGUAGCCGACAGCCAGCGUGACAGGUCUCUUCAAAGUCUAUGUUUACAGAACAGCUCCUCGUGACUACAUGAAAGAAUGGAAGAGAUGAAAAUCCGCUUUGAAAGACACAAGCUGGGUAGCGUGCAUGCAGACAAGACUCUUGCUCAACUGCACAACAGUAACUGGAUGAAACCAACAAGCCAUGUAACCGUGCAGCUCUCUGAAGGACUCGCAGUGGUCACAGCAAAAGUGAGUCCAUGGAAAUCAGUUCUGGCAGACUGUCACCGUUGCGAGGUCACAGCCUGUUAAGAGUGUGGGAAGCACAAGCACUAGACUUCAAGAACGAAAACAACUGACAGCUGCAGAGAGUUAAAGCACAGUCAGAAACAAAGACCCUGAGGGGAAAAUAAUGAACAGUUCAUUCAUCCUCAUAUUGUGAUACACAUGAAAGGAUAUUUGUUCUGCGAAAACUUCUUGUUUCGUAUGUUGCUUAUGCUGGAAGACAUCCAUGUUUUUAUUAUGAGUUUUUGGCAUUUGGACCAGAUCUGUUGAUUGUAACAUUCCACUUUUUGGACAAAUAUCCUUCACAGUAAAAGAAUCAUUGUCUCAUCUUCACAAAUAUAAUUACAUUCCAAAAUAUAAUGAAAGGUUCCAAACAGAUGUCUGGCAGGCAUCCAUUAACUCCAAUAAAUAAUAUUUAUCAGUAUCUGUUAAAGGGAGAGUUCACCCAAAAAUGAAAAUUCUGUUAUCAUUUAUUUACCCUCAUGUCAUGAGUUAUUUAAAGCAGAAUAUUCAAGCUGCUUUUUUUAUACAGUGAAAGUGAAUUGUGACCACAGCUAUCAGGCGAGAUUAAUUUUAUCCUGUUUCUCAUACAAAACUAUCAUAUGACUUCCAAAUACUUGUAAUAUAAUGCAUAUAGACCUGUUUUAGGGUGUUUUUAUUGGAGCUUGACAGCCUCCUAGUUUCCACAAUCGAAAAAAAAGAAAUGUAGAAACAGUUUUCACUAAGAAAUUUCUAGAAAAUUUUACAAAUAAUUGAGUAUAAGUACAAAUACUGAAAUAGUAUUUUUUUUGUAAAACGUACUCCAAUUACUGCUGUAAAAUACAAGAACAAGCAACUUAUAAGAAAUUGAUAGAACAUUUCACAAAUAAUUACAAAGAAUCGAAAUAGUACAUUUUUGAAGAAAAUACUAAACUAGUAUAUUUUUUGGUAAACAUACCUAAAUUACUGGCACAAUAUAUAAGAACAAGCAAUUUACAAGAAAUUGAUAGUAAAUUUCACAAAUAAUUACAAAGAAUCAACAAGUAACAUUGAAUUAUAGUGAAUUUUUGAAGUAAAUACUGAAAUAGUAUAUUUUUUGUAAAACGUAG
rnacentral:lncRNA from 1 species